UACGAAGGGGGCUAGCGUUGUUCGGAUUUACUGGGCGUAAAGCGCGUGUAGGCGGACUGGAAAGUUGGGGGUGAAAUCCCGGGGCUCAACCUCGGAACUGCCUCCAAAACUUCCAGUCUGGACUCAAGUAGAGGCAAGUGGAAUUGCGAGUGUAGAGGUGAAAUUCGUAGAUAUUCGCAGGAACACCAGUGGCGAAGGCGACUUGCUGGACUUGUAGUGACGCUGAGACGCGAAAGCGUGGGGAGCAAACAGG
rnacentral:rRNA from 1 species